GAAAAGUUGGGUGACCUUCUCUCCUUUGCCUCCUCAUCAGACGGGGAGGCCGGAGGUGGAGAAGAGCGAGCAAAGAGCCGGAGGCACACCAUCGCAGGCUCGUCAUGAGUAUUAUCCAUUGCCUUUCCGCACACGGAUUGAGCCAGUACUUCAGUGGUUGCCAAGGUUCGACGUGCUUCAACAGCUGCCUCUCCGCAGGCGUACCCGGAGCAGCAAUGCACUUUGCCUGGCCGGCAGGUUGGUGCCCGGUGCAAGCCCAACGAGAGAGCGACCUUUGGUCAGAAGGGGCCUGCAGGAGUAAUCAGGUUUCUGGAGUGUGCCCGCGGAGGGUUUCCGUGAGAAAGAACUGAUCUUCACCAUGUAUGCGGGUGCAAGGUGUUCGAUGAAAUGCGUGAGUGGACACUUAAUGUUCUCAACGGCAGGGAGUCAUCCAUCGUGUUUGUGAUCUUGUACCGUUGCACGCUUUGACCGGUUUUGCUAUGCAUAUAGCAAUCAUCUUCUUCAAGGUGUUGCGUGGCAAACGAAGCAAGUGCAGCUGCAGAGUUGGGUCCCUCUGGCAGGCUACAAGCGUGACCAUCGAAGGGAAGUCAAUCAGAGGAUCUUCACAGGCCUAGGAGGGAUCCUAGACCGCCCAAGAGGUUGAUUGAGGAAGCAAAUAUUGUCGCUUAUGCUCUGUGGCAGAUGAAAUUAAAGGCAAUGCAGAACAUUCAUCAUACUCUGAGGUAAACAUAACAUAUCAGCAAUGCGUGUUGUAUCAUCAUGUUGCAGUGAUUGUGCUAGUCUUUGUCUUGGAUGGGAAUGAAAUACUUGCUCUCCAUUAUGUCCUUGCCACUCAAUUCUAGCUUUUCCCACCAGGCAUAUGAUCCACAAAUCCUAUUUAACCUCUGGUAAUCAUAUGUUUGACCCAAUGGAAUUGUUUUCAAAUUCGGGCAGUCCUCCACCCUAAUACUUUCAAGACAAGGAAAGUCUCUUGGGAUGCAUACCCUUCUCAGCUUUAGUAGGUCAGUCAGUACCAAUGAUCUCAGUUUUGGGAAGUCUACCUGGUGCUCUGUUUCAUUGAUCCGCCCACUCUUGGUCAUAUUCUGGUAAUAUUUGGCAUAUUCAUUCCAUGCGUCAUCUACCAUACCAUGUAUCUCUUGUUCUUCAGAGAAACCAUUUUUUCUCCUGCAUCUCUGAGUACUACCCUGUUCAAUUCCCGAACUCUUGCUUACUGCCUCGUCGGUUGUUUCUUCAACAACUUGCUCUAAUUCAUGAAGUGAUAGAUAGAAAGCUUCUCAAGUGCCUCCAGCUUCAGAACCAGGUAACAUGGUGCAAUUUUUGGCAGUGGGAGAUUGUAAUUUCUAGGAGGUUCCGAAAUUGAUGAGGCGAAGAUCCAAUAAGAACUGUUUGUAGGGCAGGAAGUUCAGCAAGGGUAAGCACUUGCAGACAAGAUCUUCACUUGUCAGGGUCAGCAAUAAGCUGUUUCAAGU